rnacentral:rRNA from 1 species
AACGAACGCUGGCGGCAUGCCUAACACAUGCAAGUCGAACGACACCUUCGUGUCUAGUUGCGCACGGGUGCGUAACGUGUGGGAACCUGCCCUUAUGUUCGGAAUAACUCCCCGUAGUGGGUGCUAACACCGGAUAAUUUCUUCUGACCACAGAUUUAUCGUCUUUGUAUGGGCCCGCGAUGGAUUAGCUAGUUGGUAUGGUAAAAGCCUACCAAGGCUACGAUCCAUAGCUGGUCUGAGAGGAUGAUCAGCCACACUGGGACUGAGACACGGCCCAGACUCCUACGGGAGGCAGCAGUGGGGAAUAUUGGACAAUGGGCGAAAGGCUGAUCCAGCAAGGCCGCGUGAGUGAUGAAGGCCUUAGGGUUGUAAAGCUCUUUUACCCGGGAUGAUAAUGACAGUACCGGGAGAAUAAGCACCGGCUAACUCCGUG